rnacentral:rRNA from 1 species
GAUGAACGCUGGCGGCGUGCCUAAUACAUGCAAGUCGAGCGAACAGAUGAGGAGCUUGCUCCUCUGACGUUAGCGGCGGACGGGUGAGUAACACGUGGAUAACCUACCUAUAAGACUGGGAUAACUUCGGGAAACCGGAGCUAAUACCGGAUAAUAUAUUGAACCGCAUGGUUCAAUAGUGAAAGACGGUUUUGCUGUCACUUAUAGAUGGAUCCGCGCCGCAUUAGCUAGUUGUUAAGGUAACGGCUUACCAAGGCAACGAUGCGUAGCCGACCUGAGAGGGUGAACGGCCACACUGGAACUGAGACACGGUCCAGACUCCUACGGGAGGCAGCAGUAGGGAAUCUUCCGCAAUGGGCGAAAGCCUGACGGAGCAAAGCCGCGUGAGUGAUGAAGGUCUUCGGCUCGUAAAACUAUGUUAUUCGGGAAGAACAAAUGUGUAAGUAACUAUGCACGUAUUGACGGUACCUAAUCAGAAAGCCACGGCUAACUACGUG